AAGAAAUCCAGAAAACCCCAUCAGUAUAAUGAAUACAUACAUAACAUUUCAAAUUUUCUAAUAAAAAACGGAAAUCUUGAAAGAUUGCAUGUGUUUGACCUCGUUGACCGAAUAUUUGCUGAAGAGAUAAGCUCUACUAAAACUUUAUAACAUUUUGUUUUAAAUAUAUUUGUUAGAUCAAUUCAAAAUUCAAAAUAUUAUAUUUGUUUACUAAUAAUUUAAUUGUAUUAAUGUUUGCAGGCUGUAGCAGAUCCAUAUUUUUAUAGUUUAGCUAAUUUGGAAACUGAAUCAUCAAAAUAACCGAUUUCAAAACUUGAGUUUGAUUUUGAAAGGAGUAGAUUAUCAAAGAAUGAUGUUAGAGAGAUGAUUUAUAGAGAGUCACAAAUCCUAGAGUGUCACCCCCAGAUACUGCAAGAGUACCUCCAUGGCAAAAAAACACAUAAGCUUCAUGUAUCCAAUUGGUAUGAAUCGAUUCAAGCAGCAGUAUGCGGAUCUUGAGGAGCAGGAGGGCAAGGAAGGAAGAAUCUAUCCACUUAAAGGCGAUACACAUUGUUGCGAAGGUAAGUUUCCAACUUUACCCCUCCCUCUAGAACAAAAAAGGACCAAAAAUACGGGAGUUAUAAAUAAAAUAAUUUAAUAUUGUUGUGUUUUUAUCAAAUAGAGCCUAUAUGUUUACCAAUAUAAAAAGAUGUUGAUGAAAUGAAUGGGUUUGAAAGGUGUACAAACGCUGCAAUUGAUCCAACUCUUCGAAGCCCACCAAGAUCAUCAGAAAGGUCAAAAAAUGUUCUAAUAAAAAAUAUUCCAAACAACAAUAAAAAUGCAAGAAGCUUAUCAAGAAGUUCUACACUUAGUAAUACAUUAAUACUACACCCAAAUUUAUAGGACCCAACAAUAGGAAAUGUUACCCUUUUAGGAUCAUUUAAACUUUAAAAAUUUGCAUUGCUUCCCUUCCAAAAUAACUUUUUUUUUCCAGAAAAAAUAAGUAAUUUUUGUAAAAGGAUCAUCAAUAUAGUUUAAAAGUUUAUAAAACUUAAAAAGUUCUCUUUCAUUGUCUUCAAUUAACUAUCAAUGAUUUUAAAAAUACUCUACUAAUGAUCAAUCAACCACAUUAGCUUGUGAAUAACCUUUAACUAAACUUUCACACAAUAGGCAAGGUCUCCGAAGGAAUUUUCAAGUCUGGUUGUCUCCAAAGACAAAUAACUUUAACUUUAAUGGUGUAAGUAUCUUUGUAGAGAUCCAUGCCUUUAAUUUCGAAUCCAUUAAUUUGUUGUUAGAAUCAAGAAUUUGUUAAAAACAUUGUAUUUUUGUAUUCGAAUACAUAUUCUUUGAAUCCACACAGUUACAUAAACAUACAAUCGAACACAGUCACACUUUUUGUUGUUGGCCUUAAUACUGAAGUUGGAAUUUUCUUGAAUUCUUUGUGUUUUAAAUUGCAAUUAUAGUUUUGUGGAUCUAACUAAUAAUCGCUUAUAUGAAUUUAGUGGUUUAAGAUAUAUCCCUAAAAGUUUUUAAAAUCCAAUUCAUGCUGCAAAUAAGAAAGAAAUUAAGGUUUGAAUCUUUAAAGUCUAAUCCAUGGUUCUCUUAGGCAUUUUAUCAAACAUAUGGUAGACGAAACUUACCUGAACUAAAAAAUGAUAGAUUUUUCAAUUGAAAAGCAAUUUUUUUCCUUAUCUAAUAAAAAUAUAUGAGAUGAUAAAAUCAAAUUAGUAAGUACCAACCUCUGAAAUUUUAGUAGUGCUAGAUGAUUUCAAAAUCCCGGCAAUCUCUCGUUGAAUAUAACAUAAAGAGAAUUCAAUGAAUUUGACCUUGAAAAUCAAUUAACCUAUACACAUUAGUCAAAUUAAAGGUUACCUUUAGGGCUUGGAGGCUUCGUGAUCUCAAGUUCGGAAGAUGUUUUGCUUAAUUUCUGAGUCGUUCUCUUUUGACGAAUUUCUUCCACCUGAGAAUUCUUAAGCAAGAUUGAGAUAACGUGAGACGCCAAAUAGCACCUGGUACUUACUUUUUCUUUAUCGUUACCGGUUUAGUUCCUCUUCUUCUGAUUGAACAAAUUCUUCAAACCCACCCGCUACAUUUUGAAAGAAACUUUACAAGUAAAUCGGGAAAUUGAGAAUGAUUUGAAAUUCAUUGUGUAAAAGAAGAGAAAUUGAUUGAAUGGAGAAAAAUCAGGCUUUUAAAUAGAUAAACAAAAUAUUUUUAUUUCAAAAUUUGAAUCGAAAAGAUAAACAGCGAGAUUAUAGGAUCCUGAUUAAGAAGAAGAAGGAAUAGAUAGAAUAACAAAAACGAAAGGGUAAAAUCAGUAGUUCAAUUUGAUAAUAUGAGCGGGAAAAAAACUUGAGGAGAGGGCUAGCAAAUGACACGUGGACUAAGGCGUACUGUUUUAUUAUAGUAGAGGAUUACUUACAUUUUUUAUAAAAUAAAAUAUAUAUUAAUUAUAUUCUCUUUGAAAAAUAACAUCUAUGGGUAUGAAAGUUAGUGUCUCGAUUUGGAGAAAACUUGCUACUUAGUACACCAAUGAAGAUAUAAGAAGCAACAAUCGUAAUGUAGUUGUCAUUCUCACUUCUUGCAAAGUUUCACUUUUCGGAGGUAUGGUUUUUUAACAAAAACAUUGUACUUAAUAUUUUUUAUGUUUGUUAUAACAAUUUUUUGUAUUAGGUGUUCCAACAUUACAGACAACAGGUUCAUCUUAAUUGUAUUUAAACCUUCCAGUGAAGGAGAUUGAUUUUUUUAGUCUUAUGUAUAAAUUGGUUUUAUGAAUAAUGGAUGAAGGAGAAGAGAUCAUAUGUGUUCUUUUGAACGAGACUGCUUUUCCUCUUAUUGGUUAUACUGUUGAUGAAUUAGUUAAUAAGAGUCUUUUAGAGGUUUGAUU